UAAUGUCUUUUGUCUAUACAUUUAGUUAGAGGUACUCAUAUUUGUUUAAUGUUUGUUGGUUUUUAUGUCCACAAAAAUUAUGUCAUUUCCUAGGGGUUUUCAUGAGGCAGAUAUGUACUUGGAGUUAGACGAUGAUUCAAUAAAGGGAAAGCAUCGUCUUCGAUGCCGCUCAACCCACUCCCACUUCGAGGAGACGUUUGCACUUCCAGAGCUUAGAGUUGGAGUGGUAUGCAUAACAAUAUGGGAAGAUCCUCAUAUCGAUCACCUUAGGAGAGAACAAGCCUAUCUUGCUACAUAUCGUUCGAUUCAGCUAUGCCAUUGAUGUCUUAACGCGAAACACAUUUCCUAUCCAUGCCCUCAAGUGGGUUGAUGUACCUCUAGAGUACAUCGAGGUCGUCAAGGUGGCCUACAGCGUUAGUUUGUGCUCGAUUUUGGUGAUCAAACAUUUAAUCAUUUUGUUGAGCAUCAAAUACUCAGCAAGUGGAAGGAAUUCAUGGCAGACAACCACCGACAUUUCAAGCAGUUUAGCGUCCUUAAGGAAGUACAUUUGAACCCACCACCGAGAUUUAUGAAUCGCAUGGAAGAUUGGUAGUUCCUCUGUGACCAUUACAUGACUCAACAAUUUCAGGUGAUUUAUAUCGUCUACUUUUACUUUGGAUGUAACAUUUUGAUUGUUUGAAUGUAUGAGCAAUCAAUGGUUAAUAAGGCUGGUAGAGCGAAAUAGCCUUACAACCACAAAAGAAAAUUCAAGUCGUUCCUUCAACGACAACACGAUCUCACUGAAGAACGUGGUCGCCUAGUGGACCAUGUCGAGUUGUUUAAAGAAACACAUGCUAAUAGGACGGACAAGUUUGUUUCACAGAUAGUAGCAGAUGCACAUAGGGUUCUCAACCUUUGGAGAUGAAAUAUGUGAGAUUGUAUUGGGUAGGCGAUCAGACUACUUAAAUGGUCUUGGUUGGGGCUUCAAGCCUAAGUUCCGAAAGAGUAAUGCCCAAUUCUUCCUCUUCCUAUGACCAAGAGAUGCAUAAAAGAUAGGUUAGCAAACUAAAGGCUAGCCUUGAAAACGCUAACCACUUAAUUGAAGAACAACGAAUAAGGUCAGAGGAGUGUGAUCGAUAAAUGUCUGAGUGUGACUGAAAAAUGGAAGAGAAUGCUAAAAAAAUAGAAGAAAGUGCUUGAAAGAUGAAAGAAAAUGCAUGAAAAAUGGAAGAGAUGGGGAAGAUGAUCGAGAAAAUGAGUCAGACACAAA